AAUCGAUUAACUGAAGUUAGAUUAAUAGCACUUCGAAACUGAACAUUUUAUUGGUAAAUUAACAGGUGCAUGCCCUCUGGCCAAGACAGUUUUAUGUCUCCUGCUUGGAUAUAGCUGACCAGACACUCCUUUUUCCCUCUUUCAAUCCUGACUGACUCCAGUUAAAAAAAAAA